rnacentral:rRNA from 1 species
UAGGGAAUAUUGGACAAUGGGGGCAACCCUGAUCCAGCCAUGCCGCGUGAGUGAAGAAGGCCCUCGGGUUGUAAAGCUCUUUUGUCCGGAAAGAAAAGCAUUCGGUGAAUACCCGGAUGUUCUGACGGUACCGGAAGAAUAAGCACCGGCUAACUUCGUGCCAGCAGCCGCGGUAAUACGAAGGGUGCAAGCGUUACUCGGAAUUACUGGGCGUAAAGCGUGCGUAGGUGGUUGUUUAAGUCUGAUGUGAAAGCCCUGGGCGCAACCUGGGAAUGGCAUUGGAAACUGGGCAGCUAGAGUGCGGUAGAGGGUAGUGGAAUUCCCGGUGUAGCAGUGAAAUGCGUAGAGAUCGGGAGGAACAUCUGUGGCGAAGGCGACUGCCUGGACCAGCACUGACACUGAGGCACGAAAGCGUGGGGAGCAAACA